CCGAGUUCGUGCCCCCCAGCGGGGUAGAUCUCCCACCCCUGUGUAUUCUUACCUGUGUUGCUUUGGCAGGCCGCUGGGUUGCGGCCUGGCCACCGGCCUUUGGGCUGGUGCGUGCCUGCCAGAGACCCGACAAAUCCUGAUUGUCAGUGUCGUCUGAGUACUAUAUAAUAGUUA
rnacentral:misc_RNA from 1 species